rnacentral:tRNA from 1 species
GCCUGGUUGGCUCAGUCGGUUAAGCGUCUGACUUCGGCUCAGGUCACGAUCUCAUAGUUUGCAGGUUCGAGCCCUGCAUCAGGCU